rnacentral:lncRNA from 1 species
GGGCUAGCCAGGGCAUGAUCAUCAAUGGUUCGCCAAGAGGUUAAGAUGGGGAAGAGGGAAGCAUGUAGUCAGGGCAGGGAUGAUGGCCUUGGGAAAGAACCAAAGGGAGAAUGGAUUGAAGAUCAUGAUGAAGACAAAGAACAUGACUAGAGGUUUCAAGGCAGAAAGAGGAGUUGAAGGAUAUAAGUUCUUAUAAAGAAACUUCAGAAUUCAUGAACAUGAAACUGGAACACAAAGGCAAAAUGAAAGCCUUCUCCGUGGUGCUCAAGGUUACAGUGUUUGAUGAUGGGAAGCAGCGAGAACCAACCAAGUCAAAGAUGACUGCUGUGAGUCACAUUUACCACUGAAAAAGUAUUAAUAUAAAUAUCUAGGCUUACCUUCUUAGAGGCAAUGUAGUGUAAUGAAAAAGGUAAUGGGUUUAGAGUUGGUUUGAACCUUGCUCCAUGGGACCUUGGGCAAGACACUAGAGCUCUGUGGACCUUCGUUUUCUCUAUGAAAUUUAGGGUUGGACUAAGUUCCUUUCCAGCUAUAAGUGAUGAUAAGAACAAAAGUAUUUGAUAAUACUCUGCUUUACAUUCAUUCUCUCAUUUAAAUCUCCCAACAACUAUGUG